rnacentral:ncRNA from 1 species
GGAAGACUCGGCAUGAAGGCCAGCCGCCCGGUGGUGUGGUACGUAGUGGUAAUAGUACGCGCCCCGCUCCGAAACAAAGAAAAAGGUGCGUGCCGCACUCACGAGGGACUGCCAGUGAGAUACUGGAGGAAGGUGGGGAUGACGUCAAGUCCCCAUGGCCCUUAUGGGCUGGGCCACACACGUGCUACAAUGGCAAUGACAAUGGGAAGCAAGGCUGU